rnacentral:rRNA from 1 species
UAAUCGGAAUUACUGGGCGUAAAGCGUGCGCAGGCGGUUGUGUAAGACAGGUGUGAAAUCCCCGGGCUUAACCUGGGAAUUGCAUUGGAUACUGGCGGGCUAGAGUACGGUAGAGGGUGGCGGAAUUCCUGGUGUAGCAGUGAAAUGCGUAGAUAUCAGGAGGAACAUCCGUGGCGAAGGCGGCCACCUGGACCAGUACUGACACUGAGGCACGAAAGCGUGGGGAGCAAACAGG